GACGUAGGGGGCGAGCGUUGUCCGGAAUUACUGGGCGUAAAGAGCACGUAGGCGGAUAUUUAAGUCAGGUGUGAAAGACCGGGGCUCAACUCCGGGGUUGCACCUGAAACUGGGUAUCUUGAGGGCAGGAGAGGAAAGCAGAAUUCCUGGUGUAGCGGUGAAAUGCGUAGAAAUCAGGAGGAAUACCAGUGGCGAAGGCGGCUUUCUGGACUGACCCUGACGCUGAGGUGCGAAAGCGUGGGUAGCAAACAGG
rnacentral:rRNA from 1 species